CUACCCUUGACAUGCCAGGAACUUGGUAGAGAUACCUUGGUGCCCGAAAGGGAGCCUGGACACAGGUGCUGCAUGGCUGUCGUCAGCUCGUGUCGUGAGAUGUUGGGUUAAGUCCCGCAACGAGCGCAACCCUUGUCAUUAGUUGCCAUCAUUUAGUUGGGCACUCUAAUGAGACUGCCGGUGACAAACCGGAGGAAGGUGGGGAUGACGUCAAGUCCUCAUGGCCCUUAUGGGUAGGGCUUCACACGUCAUACAAUGGUCGGUACAGAGGGUUGCCAAGCCGCGAGGUGGAGCCAAUCCCAGAAAGCCGAUCGUAGUCCGGAUCGGAGUCUGCAACUCGACUCCGUGAAGUCGGAAUCGCUAGUAAUCGUGGAUCAGCAUGCCACGGUGAAUACGUUCCC
rnacentral:rRNA from 1 species